GCUGGUGUAGCUCAAUAGGUAGAGCAACUGACUUGUAAUCAGUAGGUUGUGGGUUCAAUUCCUAUCACCAGCUCCA
rnacentral:tRNA from 1 species